rnacentral:rRNA from 1 species
AUUGAACGCUGGCGGCAUGCCUUACACAUGCAAGUCGAACGGCAGCACGGGGGCAACCCUGGUGGCGAGUGGCGAACGGGUGAGUAAUACAUCGGAACGUGCCCAGUAGUGGGGGAUAGCUCGGCGAAAGCCGGAUUAAUACCGCAUACGACCUACGGGUGAAAGCGGGGGAUCGCAAGACCUCGCGCUAUUGGAGCGGCCGAUGUCAGAUUAGGUUGUUGGUGGGGUAAAGGCCACCAAGCCGACGAUCUGUAGCUGGUCUGAGAGGACGACCAGCCACACUGGGACUGAGACACGGCCCAGACUCCUACGGGAGGCAGCAGUGGGGAAUUUUGGACAAUGGGCGCAAGCCUGAUCCAGCCAUGCCGCGUGCGGGAAGAAGGUCUUCGGGUUGUAAACCGCUUUGUCAGGGAAGAAACGCUCCGGGUUAAUACCUCGGCGUAAUGACGGUACCUGAAGAAUAAGCACCGGCUAACUACGUGCCAGCAGCCGCU